UACAGAGGUCUCAAGCGUUGUUUGGAUUCAUUGGGCGUAAAGGGUGCGUAGGUGGCGCCGUAAGUCGGGUGUGAAAUUUCGGAGCUUAACUCCGAAACUGCAUUCGAUACUGCGGUGCUUGAGGACUGGAGAGGAGACUGGAAUUCAUGGUGUAGCAGUGAAAUGCGUAGAGAUCAUGAGGAAGACCAGUGGCGAAGGCGGGUCUCUGGACAGUUCCUGACACUGAGGAGCGAAAGUGUGGGGAGCGAACAGG
rnacentral:rRNA from 1 species